AUUGAACGCUGGCGGAAUGCUUUACACAUGCAAGUCGAACGGUAGAGGGGGCAACCCCUUGAGAGUGGCGAACGGGUGAGUAAUAUAUCGGAACGUGCCCAGUCGUGGGGGAUAACGUAGCGAAAGUUACGCUAAUACCGCAUACGAUCUAAGGAUGAAAGCGGGGGAUCGCAAGACCUCGCGCGACUGGAGCGGCCGAUAUCAGAUUAGGUAGUUGGUAGGGUAAAGGCCUACCAAGCCAACGAUCUGUAGCUGGUCUGAGAGGACGACCAGCCACACUGGAACUGAGACACGGUCCAGACUCCUACGGGAGGCAGCAGUGGGGAAUUUUGGACAAUGGGCGAAAGCCUGAUCCAGCCAUUCCGCGUGCAGGAUGAAGGCCCUCGGGUUGUAAACUGCUUUUGUACAGAACGAAAAGGUUUCUAUUAAUACGAGGAGCUCAUGACGGUACUGUAAGAAUAAGCACCGGCUAACUACGUG
rnacentral:rRNA from 1 species